AACGAACGCUGGCGGCAUGCCUAACACAUGCAAGUCGAACGAGACCUUCGGGUCUAGUGGCGCACGGGUGCGUAACGCGUGGGAACCUGCCCUUAGGUUCGGAAUAACUCCCCGAAAGGGGUGCUAAUACCGGAUAAUGUCUUCGGACCAAAGAUUUAUCGCCUUUGGAUGGGCCCGCGUUGGAUUAGCUAGUUGGUAGGGUAACAGCCUACCAAGGCGACGAUCCAUAGCUGGUCUGAGAGGAUGAUCAGCCACACUGGGACUGAGACACGGCCCAGACUCCUCCGGGAGGGAGCAGUGGGGAACAUUGGACAAUGGGCGAAAGCCUGAUCCAGCAAUGCCGCGUGAGUGAUGAAGGCCUUAGGGUGGUAAAGCUCUUUUACCCGGGAUGUUAAUGACGGUCCCGGGAGAAUAGACCCCGGCUAACUCCGU
rnacentral:rRNA from 1 species